rnacentral:lncRNA from 1 species
AGGUUUUGAGCAGCGGUGUAGUAUCAGAUCCCACAGAUAGUAAGUAUUUUCUUUCUUAUGAAAAAUAAAAAGAAGUCAUUCUCAAAGAUUCUAUAGACCAUAGAAAUGUCAUAUUAGAAAGUAUAUGAUAUAUGAAAUUGAGAUAGUUACCUUUCCGUAAAUUAGAGAGUGUUAAUGUAGAUGUGUUAUUCUUCGGAAGGUAGGAG